rnacentral:rRNA from 1 species
GCAUGAAGUCGGAAUUGCUAGUAAUCGCGGAUCAGCAUGCCGCGGUGAAUACGUUCCCGGGCCUUGUACACACCGCCCGUCACACCAUGAGAGCCGUCAAUGCCCGAAGUCCGUAGCCUAACCGCAAGGAGGGCGCGGCCGAAGGCAGGGGUGGUAAUUAGGGUGAAGUCGUAACAAGGUAGC